rnacentral:rRNA from 1 species
ACCCAGACUCCUACGGGAGGCAGCAGUGGGGAAUAUUGCACAAUGGGGGGAACCCUGAUGCAGCGACGCCGCGUGGGUGAAGGAGUACUUCGGUACGUAAAGCCCUAUCAGCAGGAAAGAAAAUGACGGUACCUGACUAAGAAGCCCCGGCUAACUACGUGCCAGCAGCCGCGGUAAUACGUAGGGGGCAAGCGUUAUCCGGAUUUACUGGGUGUAAAGGGAGCGUAGACGGCGUCGCAAGUCUGAAGUGAAAGCCCGUGGCUCAACCGCGGAACCGCUUUGGAAACUGCGAGGCUGGAGUGCUGGAGAGGUAAGCGGAAUUCCUGGUGUAGCGGUGAAAUGCGUAGAUAUCAGGAGGAACACCGGUGGCGAAGGCGGCUUACUGGACAGUGACUGACGUUGAGGCUCGAAAGCGUGGGGAGCGCACAGGAUUAGAUACCCCAGUAC